CAGCACCUCAAGUGGUCAGGAUGAUUAUUGGGCCUAAAGCAUCCGUAGCCGGCGCUGUAAGUUUUCGGUUAAAUCUGUACGCUCAACGUACAGGCUGCCGGGAAUACUGCAGCGCUAGGGAGUGGGAGAGGUAGACGGUACUCGGUAGGAAGGGGUGAAAUCCUUUGAUCUAUUGAUGACCACCUGUGGCGAAGGCGGUCUACCAGAACACGUCCGACGGUGAGGGAUGAAAGCUGGGGGAGCAAACCGGAUUAGAUACCCGAGUAGUCC
rnacentral:rRNA from 1 species